AAUACGCUAAGGAGGGUCUACAACCCUACACAAGUCAAUCUGGAACAUUCACCCAUGGAUUUCCAAUUCGUAACUUCCCAAAGUCCACACUAUGCUUCUAGAACAACAUACUAAAACUUCUUUACGAUCUAACGGUUGGAUCUCCGCCAAUUGCAAAUUCAAGUGAGGGUCAAAGUUGGAUUUUACAAACUUUAGAAAUUCAAUUCGGCAAGAUCCGUACGUCAGAUUCCCAAUCCGUAAGUUCCUAAUGUCCACAAAUAUUACGUACUAUCAUGUAUUAAAUUUAGUGUUGAUUCAACGGUCGGAUCGUCCAUUCAUAUAAUAACCAAGUGACGGCCAACUAGGUGGUCCACUAUGAAACUAUAUUAAAACAUCAGGAUUUCACUAAACAAAUGUCAAUUAUGGAAUAAGGGCAUCAAAUUAGCCUAGGAUGGUCAGGUGAGCUCUCGGCCCACGUGCUGCCGCAUGUGGCGACCAACCUCCCCGACUUGCCCAAGAAAUCAAUAUUUCCAAAAAGUACCAAAUUUCACAUAAAUGAAGAUGGGUAGCUUCAAUUCGACUUCUCCGGUGCUCUGCCACCUUCAAGGUUGUUAAGGGUUUGUUCCUGGGCUCAAGGAGGGUCUAAUGGUGGUGGAGAUCGAGGCAAUUUCAUUCAAAAUUGGCGGAUUGCCACUAAGAACCUAGCCUAAUCUUUGGUGAUCAAUGAAGGAGGCGUGGUGUGGUGAUGUUUGUAGGUGUUGGAAAGUCUUGAUUCAUCGGAAAAAAAUGGAGAUCAUCGGAAAAAGGCUUGGGGAGGUCCGAGUCGAAGGUUGGAUCACGGUUUGGAAAUGGGUCAAGGGAAAAAGGUCUUGGUUGUGUGCCUCUCCACUCCCUCCUUUCCUUCCCUGUUCUUCUUCCUGAUUCGUCAUUUCUCAUUCUCUUCUCUCCCCAUUCGCCUAACCUCUCUCCUUUUUCCCUCAUGUUAUCUCUUUUUAUUCGUCCAUCUUCCUUUCUUCUCUCUCCUUUCCCUUUUUCUGAUUGGGCAAACCCUUCUCCACCCUCUCUUUUUUCUUUUCUUUUCUCCCCAGCCACAUAUGUGGCUUCCUUUCACCAAGAUAAGGCUCCCACAAAUCUGGAACCUUCCAGAUUCAUAGCAAAAUGACUAUUUUGCCCACACGUUCGUAUUGUCUAGUACUUCGAGAAUUCGCAAAAAGAGCAGCUUGUACACAUCACGAAAGACGACUAACGAAAGUCAACAUCCUCGCCUUUAAGGGCAUUUUCUUAAAAUCACUCUUUUAAAGGACGGGUUGUCACAAUGAUAAGGUAAGAUUUCACAACUAAAAUUAACAUGACAAGUUAAUAAAUUAUGGUUUUUUUUUUUUUUUUGAGCUCUUGAAGUCCUUAAUUUUAUAUAGAACUUCUAAUUGCCAUGGUAAUUUUUUUUUCUCUAAAACAAAAAUCACUCAUCAAAGUUGCAAAAGAAAUGUCGAUAGAAAAUGACGUAAUAAUGACUUCAAGAAAUAAGAGGUGCAGUGAGAUGGGAAAAUGCGUGAGAGCUGAUGUACUUUUUAGACACCAAAAUGGACCGUCUUUAAUUAAUUAGAUACUAAAAACCAUGCAAAUAUCAAGCAUUUGAGUUCCAGAUUGUCUUUUUCUAAAAGAGAACUAGCUUGUGGCUUCGUCACAACAGUCUACUUUUUUUUAAUGUAAGACUUUUUAAAACCAGAAUGUGCUGCUGUGUGGCAUAUUUUUGUUUUGGAUAAGGAUUUGGGAGUCAAAAAUUUUGUAGUUUUUGUUUUGGAUAAGGAUAAAAACAAACAUAAAACAUUACAUUAUUCGAGAGAAAAAUUGUCAAAGUUAAGAAGGCUUUGUACGAUUGUUUCGCAAAGCUUUUUGUUUUUGUGUUUUUGAUUUUUUUGUUUUUUGGGUAGAAGCGAUAGAGUUUCAUUACCACGAACAACCAAUUACAAGGGUGCCAAUGGGUACAUAUGCUCCAGUGACCAAUUUCUUGUUCUAGAGGUAAUUAGCUUGAAACACAAUUAAUUUUAAACCCCUAAACGGCUACCACACAAACCACACCACUAAAACGAAGAGACCCAAAACCGAUAUGCCCCAGAAUGACAUACCAAGCACCAAACCUUCACAAAAUCCAUCGCAAACAGGAGGCUACAUAAUCGCAAUAGCAACACAAACAUCUUGUCGAAGCAAUACAAACAAAACAUAAAACUACACUAGAAAAACAAAAAAGUUGAUGACGUGUCGUCAGU
rnacentral:lncRNA from 1 species